GAUCGACUAGGAUAUGAAUUGGUUAGUGAAUUCAUGAUGCAUGGUCCGUGUGGAGAUGCGAACAAAAGUUGUGCUUGCAUGAAAAAUAAUAAAUGCUCAAAAAAUUAUCCAAAAGAUUUUCAGGAUGAAACCAUUAUUGAUGAGGCUGGCUUUACAAUUUAUAGACGACGAAAUGAUGGACGACAUAUUAUAAAAAAUGGAAUUCCAUUGGACAACAGAUCGGUUGUUCCUUACAACAUGAAGCUGCUUAAAACAUAUCAAGCACACAUAAAUGUUGAGUGGUGUAAUAAAUCAAAUUUGAUAAAAUAUUUAUUUAAAUAUAUCACAAAGGGUCAAGAUCGUGCUAGAAUCUAUUUUGAGACAACCGGUAAAACAACAAAUGCAUCACCAAAUCAUGACCUUGCACCACAAGAUGAGAUAUUAGAAUAUAUGGAUGGUAGGUUCCUUUCUACAUGUGAGUCUCUUCAUCGACUAUUUGAGUUUGAUAUACAUUAUAGAAUGCCAUCUGUUGAGCGAUUAGUUGUACAUUUGCCUGGCAAAAAUUAUGUUAGAUAUGAGAAAGGGUCUAAUUUACGAGCAGUCCUAAAGAGCCCUGCUGCAAAAAGUUCGAUGCUAACUGAAUGGUUUGAAGCGAAUAAAAAAUAUCCUAAGGCUCAUUCAUUGACAUACUGCGAAUUUCCAAAAGAACAGACAUGGGAGCCAUCAUCUAGAGUGUGGCGCCCACGAACUCCUGCUCCAAAAAUUGGUAGAAUUUACUAUGUGCAUCCAACUGCUGGUGAGCUUUACUACUUGCGAAUGAUACUGAUGAUUGUUAGAGGUGCCCAAAGUUAUGCUGAUGUGCGAACAUACAAUGGCAUUGUUUAUUCCACAUAUAGAGAGGCCUGUGAGGCACAAGGGCUCCUCGAAGGAGACAAUGAAUGGUACCUGCUUUUUGAUGAGGCAAUACUAACUGCAUCAUCGCAACAGCUUAGACAACUUUUUGUAACCAUCCUUCUUUAUUGCUCAGUUAUAGAUGUGCGCUCAUUAUUUGACAAGUACUGGAUACACAUGACAGAUGAUAUUCAUAAUAGACUAAAAAAAGCGCUAGAUAAUCCUCACUGCAUAAUUCCACAGGAUCACUUGCUUAACCUUCUAUUACAUGAGCUUGCUACUGUAUUUGCAAAAAGUGGUGGUGACAUAAAGGAUUUUAACUUGCCACACCCAACCUCCAUUGCACAUAUCGCUGGUGGUAACAGAUUGAUUGAUGAGGAACUUACAAUUGAUCCACUUAUGCUAAGCAUGCAUGCAGAUUCUUUGAUAACACAAUUGAAUACUGAGCAAAAACAUAUUUUUGAUGUUAUAUCUUCUCGUGUUGCUCAUAAUCAGCCUGGUUUCUUCUUUGUGUGUGGCCAUGGGGGAACCGGCAAAACAUUUCUAUGGAAUGCUAUCAUUGCAAAACUUAGAUCACAAAAUAAAAUUGUGCUUGCUGUAGCGUCAUCAAGGGUGGCAUCUUUACUGCUACCUAGAGGUAGGACAGCUCACUCACGAUUUAAAAUACCCAUUGAUAUUGAUGAGACAAGCAUUUGUAACAUUAAACGAGGAAGCAUGCUUGCUGAACUUUUAAUUGAAGCUUCGCUUAUUAUAUGGGAUGAGGCUCCGAUGACACAUAGGCGAUGUUUUGAAGCGUUGGAUCGGACUUUACGUGAUAUCCUUUCUCAAACGUGUGCUACAAAUUCUAUUAUACCUUUUGGAGGAAAACCCGUCGUUCUAGGUGGUGAUUUCAGACAGAUAUUGCCAGUUGUUCCUAAAGGUUCCCGCCAUGCUAUAGUCAAUGCAUCAAUCACAAAUUCAGAUCUAUGGAAACAUGUAACAGUCUUAACGAUGAAUAUAAAUAUGAGACUACUUAACACAAACCUAGAGCAAAAGCAAAAAGAUGAGCUGCAUGAUUUUAGUAAGUGGGUUUUAGCUAUUGGUAAUGGCACAAUACCUAUGACCACGAAGGAAGGUGAAAGCUAUCCAUCAUGGAUCGAAAUUCCUCAUGACUUACUUAUUAUAACUGAUGGUGAUAAAAUAUCUGCUAUUGUGAAUGAAGUGUAUUGUGAUUUUUUUGCAUCAUACAUGAAUCCUGAAUACUUAGCUUCUCGUGCAAUUGUUUGUCCUAACAAUGCUACAAUAGAUGAAAUAAAUGACUAUGUUAUUGGUUUAGUACCAAGAGAAGCAAGGAUAUACCUAAGCUGCGAUACAAUAUCAAAGUGCGCUGAACAAAUUCCAGAUUUUGACUUGCUAUAUCCACCUGAGUUUCUUAAUUCAAUAAAUGCUGCAAACUUCCCUACACAUAGACUUAUCCUCAAAGAAGGUGUUGUUGUCAUGUUGCUCAGAAAUCUAAACCAAUCAAUUGGUCUCUGCAAUGGAACAAGACUAUUAAUUGUUGCUUUAGGUGAUAGAAUUCUUCAAUGCAUUAUACUCAUUGGCUCAAACAUUGGUGAUACUGUUUACAUACCUCGAAUAACACUGAGUACUACUAAAAUGAAAUGGCCUUUUACAUUGCAAAGGAGACAAUUCCCUAUUCGAGUUUGCUAUGCAAUGACCAUCAAUAAAAGUCAAGGACAAACACUACAACGAGUUGGUGUGUACCUUAGAAAACCUAUUUUUACACAUGGCCAGUUGUAUGUUACAAUUUCAAGAGCUACAAGUCGAUCAGGUCUAAAAAUAUUAAUUGAGAACGACGAUGGUUCAUGCGGAAACCAUACAAGGAAUAUUGUUUACAGUGAAAUACUCACUGCUACAUUUCCAGCGGCUCCGCCGUUGCAUACUUAGCUAUUUUGGCCUAAACAGGGACAAAUUUUGUACAAACAUUUUGGAAUAAAUAUAUGUCUUCAGCAGCUAUCAUGUGCUAUAUACCCGCUGCAAUAUUCCCCUCUUAAUAUUAUAUAUUCCAAAUGGCG